GUAAGUCCCUGCAAGUUGGCAUUUGCUUUCCUAUGAUCAUAUGUUGGAUAUUGGUAUAAGCCCAGACAGAUUGGCAUCCGGUAUCCAAGUUUCAUUUUGUUUUAGGAGAUUAGUAUAAGUCCAUUGAGUGGCCUCUGAUAUCCAGUUCUGUUUUAGGAGAUUGGUGUAAAUCCAUCUAGUGGUAUCCGGUAUCCGCUUUUGUUUGUGAGAUUGGAGUAAGACCAUUGAGUGGCAUCCGGUAUCAUUUGCUUGCUUACAUUAUUAUUGCUCAUAGCCUAUUCCAAAGGACACACUUGAAUCAUCUUCUAUAUGAUCUCAAGAGGUGAAUCUUCUAAGAAGUUUUACAAUCCAUCCUUCAUCCAUUCAUCCCCAUUAUAUCCUAAACCUUUUCACACAUUACUUUCAAACUUGAGAUAGAUAUUGUGCAAACAUCUUCAUGUUUUUAAAUUAAAAAACCUGGACCCCAAGUCCUUGACUUUUUUCAAACUCCAUUUCAUAACACUUCUUUCGAAUCAAUCUUAAUCAUACUUUGACUCCACUUUCAUAAUCACAAUCAAUUAACUUCACCCAUUCACUUGUUUUGGCUUUGUCCAUUGUUAAAUCUUUUCACAUUAGCCAUAGGUUUCAAUUAUCAUUGUGGUUGACGUAAACCUCAC
rnacentral:lncRNA from 1 species